AGCGAACGCUGGCGGCAGGCCUAACACAUGCAAGUCGAGCGGAGAGAAGUAGCUUGCUACUGAUCUUAGCGGCGGACGGGUGAGUAAUGCUUAGGAAUCUGCCUAUUAGUGGGGGACAACAUUUCGAAAGGAAUGCUAAUACCGCAUACGUCCUACGGGAGAAAGCAGGGGAUCUUCGGACCUUGCGCUAAUAGAUGAGCCUAAGUCGGAUUAGCUAGUUGGUGGGGUAAAGGCCUACCAAGGCGACGAUCUGUAGCGGGUCUGAGAGGAUGAUCCGCCACACUGGGACUGAGACACGGCCCAGACUCCUACGGGAGGCAGCAGUGGGGAAUAUUGGACAAUGGGCGGAAGCCUGAUCCAGCCAUGCCGCGUGUGUGAAGAAGGCCUUAUGGUUGUAAAGCACUUUAAGCGAGGAGGAGGCUACUUUAGUUAAUACCUAGAGAUAGUGGACGUUACUCGCAGAAUAAGCACCGGCUAACUCUGUGCCAGCAGCCGCCGUAAGAC
rnacentral:rRNA from 1 species